rnacentral:pre_miRNA from 1 species
AGUCGUUGAGUUGUUAAGUUGUUAAGUUGUUGAGUCGUUUAAACGACUUAACAACUUAACAACUCAACGACU